rnacentral:rRNA from 1 species
AUUGAACGCUGGCGGCAGGCCUAACACAUGCAAGUCGAGCGGAUGAAGGGAGCUUGCUCCUGGAUUCAGCGGCGGACGGGUGAGUAAUGCCUAGGAAUCUGCCUGGUAGUGGGGGAUAACGUCCGGAAACGGGCGCUAAUACCGCAUACGUCCUGAGGGAGAAAGUGGGGGAUCUUCGGACCUCACGCUAUCAGAUGAGCCUAGGUCGGAUUAGCUAGUUGGUGGGGUAAAGGCCUACCAAGGCGACGAUCCGUAACUGGUCUGAGAGGAUGAUCAGUCAAACUGGACUGGGGACAGGGUCCAAAUCCCUCGGGAGGGAAGAGGUGGGAAAUAUUGGACAAUGGCGGAAAGCCUGUUCAAGCAUGCCGCGUGUGUGAAGAAGGUCUUCGGAUUGUAAAGCACUUUAAGUUGGGAGGAAGGGCAGUAAGUUAAUACCUUGCUGUUUUGACGUUACCAACAGAAUAAGCACCGGCUAACUUCGUG